UACGUAGGGGGCAAGCGUUGUCCGGAAUUAUUGGGCGUAAAGAGCGCGUAGGCGGUCCGAUAAGUCGGCUGUGAAAGUCCAGGGCUCAACCCUGGAAAGCCGGCCGAUACUGUCGGACUAGAGUCCGGAAGAGGCAAGUGGAAUUCCCGGUGUAGCGGUGAAAUGCGCAGAUAUCGGGAGGAACACCAAUGGCGAAGGCGGCUUGCUGGGACGGUACUAACGCUGAGGCGCGAAAGCGUGGGGAGCAAACAGG
rnacentral:rRNA from 1 species